rnacentral:rRNA from 1 species
AGAGGGUGCGAGCGUUAAUCGGGAAUUACUGGGCGUAAAGGGUGCGUAGGUGGAUAGAUAAGUUGGAUGUGAAAGGGCCUGGGGGCUCAACCUAGGCAUGUCAUCCGAUACUGUUUGACUAGAGUUUGAUAGAGGGUAGGGGAAUUUCCGGAGUAGCGGUGAAAUGCGUAGAUAUCGGAAGGAACACCAGUGGCGAAGGCGCCUACCUGGAUUGAAACUGACACUGAGGCACGAAAGCGUGGGUAGCGAACAGGAUUAGAUACCCUGGUAGUCCACGCUGUAAACGAUGAAAACUAGCCGUACGGUGACAUAAGAGCACUGUGUGGCGCAGCAAACGCGAUAAGUUUUCCGCCUGGGGAGUACGGCCGCAAGGCUA